rnacentral:rRNA from 1 species
UACGGGGGGGGCUAGCGUUGUUCGGAAUUACUGGGCGUAAAGCGCACGUAGGCGGCUUUGUAAGUUAGAGGUGAAAGCCCAGGGCUCAACCCUGGAAUUGCCUUUAAGACUGCAUCGCUAGAAUUGUGGAGAGGUAAGUGGAAUUCCGAGUGUAGAGGUGAAAUUCGUAGAUAUUCGGAAGAACACCAGUGGCGAAGGCGACUUACUGGACACAUAUUGACGCUGAGGUGCGAAAGCGUGGGGAGCAAACAGG